AAAGAGGUAAGCUAAGAAAUAAGCUAUUAGGUUCAUACCCUACCGAUAGAGUCAUCUCCUCUUUA
rnacentral:tRNA from 1 species